GAGGGUUACCCUGACCCAUUGACAUUGUCACUGUUUCAAACAUGGCAGAGAAGAGUUGGGGAGAGAAAGUCUCAGGCAAGGUGUACUCUCUCUACAGCUCGCUCCCGAAGAAAGGAAAGCCUCAGGGCCGGGAAGUCACCGUCUUGGCCGCUUUUCUACUCUCCUCUCCUUCCCAAGACCUGGAAGUUGUGGCAUUGGGAACUGGGACCAAGUGUCUUGGGCGCUCGCUCUUGAGCCCACGCGGUGACGCUGUCAAUGACUCGCACGCUGAAAUUAUUGCACGGCGGGCUUUAUUGAGGUUUUUCUAUGCACAGAUUCAAUGUCUUACUCGUUUUUACAAUAAGCAAAAGGAUGUUGAUGUAAGUAACGAGCUGCAAGGUUGUGAUGUCAACAACUUGCCUUUUCAAUCAGACCCAGAUAGUCCUGGGCAAAACAAAUACACGAUGAAACCCGGUUGGCAAUUACAUCUGUACAUAUCACAACUACCAUGUGGGGAUGCUUCGCUGAGUUGUCCAUUGUCUCCUCUUGAAAGUAACCUGCCAAGAGAAGGGGAUUCGCGAUCGUAUAUCGGCGGUGUUAACAGUUCCAUGAGUGAACCUCUGGAGGCUUCGGUAAAGAAUAAUGAUGAGGCUUCACAACUCAUUGGCUCGGUUCAGAGAAAGCCUGGUCGUGGUGAUUCAACAUUGUCAGUUAGCUGCUCUGACAAGAUAGCCCGUUGGAAUGUUGUAGGAGUUCAAGGAGCUCUGCUUUCCUACUUCCUUCAACCUGUUUACCUUUCUUCUGUUACUGUUGGGAGAUCCCCUAACAGUCCUGAAAAGUUUCUCUUAGAGGAUUGCUUGAAAAGAGCUUUAUAUGAUCGAAUCCAACCAUUGCGAAACAAGCUAAUGAGUCCCUUUCGGGUGAACCAGCCAAUAUUCUUGGCUGCCCCAGUACCACCAAAGGAGUUCCAGCAUUCUGAGUCAGCUUUGAGCACUUUGACAUGCGGGUAUUCAAUAUGUUGGAAUAAGUCUGGCUUGCUUGAAGUGAUUCUUGGAACCACUGGAAGAAAGCAAGGCACCUCUGCCAAAGGAGCACUUUAUCCAUCUACUGAGUCCUCUCUAUGCAAAAAGCGGUUAUUGGAGAUUUUCUUGUCACUAGGACUUGAAUGCCAAAUGAAAUUCCCAGCUAAUGCGAUUUCUUAUCGAGCACUCAAGGAAAGGGCUCAGGAAUACAUUUUUACUUCAAAAAAUUUCAAAGGAAGUCCGCCUUUUAGCAAUUGGCUAUUGAAACUGGUAGACUACGAGGCCUUCUCCAUUUUCAGAUAGCGAGGUUAGAAUGUGCUACUCAGUUUUUAAUUCUACUAGCACAUUGGUGAGAGAUGGUAAAUUAUUGGACUUGAAUUGCAGUCUUCCUCUAAAGUUUAUGGGAGAGAAGUUGGAUAAGGAGUAGUCUCAAGCCCCUUUGAAGGCAUGAUGAAUCGAGACAGGGCCUGCUGCUUACGUUGUUAUUACUGCUCAUUUGUUACAAUGAAUGGUGUAAAUGUCCAUCCAUGCUCAUAUGUGUCAUCACCCCAUGCUGUAGACAAGAGAGAUCGUUUUGCCUUUUUCUAAAUUUGACUCACUAUAAGAUGCCCACUUUUCUUUUUA